rnacentral:lncRNA from 1 species
AAGGAGUUCAAGAUCUAGUGGAGACAGUAGUCAAGUAAACAUACAAUUAUAACAUGGAAUAAAAAUGCCAUGACAAUAGGAAGCCAAGAAAGGCUGUGGAAUCCAAGUCAAGCAAGCAAGAAGGGCAGACGGAGUGGGCUCAGUUACAGGACGACAGGCAGAGUUAACAGAAUUCUUGAAGGUGCAGAAACCGGAGACCACAGGUUGCCACACAGGAGGUUCCUCAUCUGUUAAAUCAUUGCCCUCCUUGAAGAGUUACUGUGAAGAUUUAAUGAGAGAAUG